CAUAAUGUCAGGACUUUAUGUUCACAGCCUUUUUAGAAUGAUAUGGACGACUUGUUUUUUAUUAAACUCAACAUAAGUGUAAGAGCUGCAGAUGACUCUGUGACUGUGAGGAGGAACUUCAUGCUCGUCUCAGCAGCAGGAAAUGCAACACACUUAUGUCUUUGUCCUACAAAAGGCCUUCUAUGAGAUCCUAGUCCAGAUCAAUCACCCACUGGACCUGCUCAAGUCACAUGACUUUAACGGCUGUGCUUCUCCAACAGAAAUACUUUUGAUUUGAAACUGGAUUAAAAUGGACUCUGAAAAGAGCCAACAGUUGACAAACUUCUUUAAGGAAAGGAAGAAAGCAACUGUUAAGUCUGGAGUUUGCUGGAGCUGUGAGGUUGACACCAGGACUCAGAAAGUAUUUCUGUGAUCUCACUCUGGAUCCAAACACAGCUCACAGAAAACUCAAACUGUCUGACAACAACAAGAAGGUGACACUUGUGUGGACGGAGCAGCCGUAUCCAGAUCAUCAGGACAGAUUUGACUUUUGGGCUCAGAUUCUGUGUUCCACUGGUCUGACUGGUCGCUGUUACUGGGAGGUCCAGUGGAGUGGAGAUGUUUAUAUAUCAGUGUCUUACAGAGGAAUUAGAAGAAAAGGAGCCUGUGAUGACAGUGGGUUUGGAUGGAAUGAUCAGUCCUGGAGUCUGGUCUGUUCUAAACGUGGUUUCUCUGUUUGGCAUAAUCACAAAUACACCUCCCUCCCUCAGUCCUGGUCCUCCUCUUCUGGGACAGCCUCAGUGUUUGUGGACUGUCCUGCUGGCUCUCUGUCCUUCUACACAGUCUCCUCUGACCAACUGACCCACCUCCACACCUUCAACACCACAUUCACUCACACUCUGCUCCCUGGGUUUAGUCUCUUGUCUUCUGACUCCUCAGUGUGUGUGUGUGCUCCGACACACUCACCCUCCUCUGUGUAAAAUACAACAGUCAAAUCUGUAGAAAAAUCACUCUGUAAAUGUUUUAUUUUGAUUUUAUUUGAGCAGAGAUUUCUUUUCUAAUGUGUUAUUUCCUCUAAAAGACAAACUGCAGACAUCAGCCUCACACUAGUGUCUGUACUGAACAAAUCACUGUGUUCAAUAUGAACUUUACAAACUCAUAAACAGGCACCACAUGCAGUAAGUGUACAGUCUGUAUAUGUGCUACUUUGGUCCUUGUUUGUUUGAUUGGGUUCAAUACUCCCAUAAGAAAGUAUGUUGUAUUUUUAUGUUCUGAGGCAGUGUUUUUGUCCAAUAAGAAGGAGGAGGAGACACAGUGGUGUAGACCAUAGUAAUUAGUACAUGUGGUCUUUUAUCAACCUUUCUUCAACUUGGAGAAGCCGACCGGAGCCACACCAAACAAACUAAACCACGAACUCAUAUAAAACAAUGGAAAUAUGAGUCUUAUUGUGUUUUCAACCACAAAUAAAAGACAAA